rnacentral:lncRNA from 1 species
CUUUGACCUUGACCUAAUUUUCAUUUUUUGGGACCAAGGACCUCAAAUCAAAGAUCCUAGGUCUCUAUCACUUAUGGUUUAUAAGAUAGAAAUUCAUAUCACUUAUAUCAGAUGCAUAAGGGGAAAUAACUCUCAUAUGGAGCGGUCAUAUCGCUUCGGUCAAAAUAGGACAAAUCAUGCGAAGGAUAUAACGAGCAAUUUUGUAAAAUAAAUUUGUCAUAAUCUUUUACGGUUGCGAAGGAGAUGCGCUAACAAGGAAAACAGUGUUUGGGGAGAUAACUCCUACAAAGAAAAGUAUUUGUUUACGCAGGGUAAAUUUCAAAAGCGCAUAAACUGUUCGAUAUCAUAUACAAAAUAUCUAAGCGACAUAUUGCGAAACAAAUGUUUAUCGCAAGAACAAAAUUAGGCGGAAGAAAAAAAAAAAAAAUAAUCAGAAGAAAAACAAUAGGUCUUUCCACAGAAAAGUGGAAAGACCUAAUAAUAAUAAUAAUAAUAAUAAUAAAAAUAAUUC